GACGAACGCUGGCGGCGUGCCUAAUACAUGCAAGUCGAGCGGACGGAUGGGAGCUUGCUCCCAGACCGUCAGCGGCGGACGGGUGAGUAACACGUGGGCAACCUGCCUGUAAGACUGGGAUAACUCCGGGAAACCGGGGCUCAUACCGGAUAACUCUUUCCCUCACAUGAGGGAAAGCUGAAAGAUGGCAUCUCGCUAUCACUUACAGAUGGGCCCGCGGCGCAUUAGCUAGUUGGUGAGGUAACGGCUCACCAAGGCGACGAUGCGUAGCCGACCUGAGAGGGUGAUCGGCCACACUGGGACUGAGACACGGCCCAGACUCCUACGGGAGGCAGCAGUAGGGAAUAUUCCGCAAUGGACGAAAGUCUGACGGAGCAACGCCGCGUGAGUGAUGAAGGUUUUCGGAUCGUAAAACUCUGUUGUCAGGGAAGAACAAGUACCGGAGUAACUGCCGGCACCUUGACGGUACCUGACCAGAAAGCCACGGCUAACUACGUG
rnacentral:rRNA from 1 species